rnacentral:rRNA from 1 species
GCAGCCAUGCCGCGUGUGUGAAGAAGGCCUUCGGGUUGUAAAGCACUUUCAGUCGUGAGGAAGGUGGUGUAGUUAAUAGCUGCAUUAUUUGACGUUAGCGACAGAAGAAGCACCGGCUAACUCCGUGCCAGCAGCCGCGGUAAUACGGAGGGUGCGAGCGUUAAUCGGAAUUACUGGGCGUAAAGCGCAUGCAGGUGGUUUGUUAAGUCAGAUGUGAAAGCCCGGGGCUCAACCUCGGAAUAGCAUUUGAAACUGGCAGACUAGAGUACUGUAGAGGGGGGUAGAAUUUCAGGUGUAGCGGUGAAAUGCGUAGAGAUCUGAAGGAAUACCGGUGGCGAAGGCGGCCCCCUGGACAGAUACUGACACUCAGAUGCGAAAGCGUGGGGAGCAAACAGGAUUAGAUACCCUGGUAGUCCACGCCGUAAACGAUGUCUACUUGGAGGUUGUGGCCUUGAGCCGUGGCUUUCGGAGCUAACGCGUUAAGUAGA